ensembl:lincRNA
GCGGACCAGGGCCCCCAGGAGCCCCACACCCCAGGGGCAGCGCCGCCGUCCUCGGGGCCGCCCUCUGCCUCCAUCCGCUGCGGGACCUGCGGAGACAGAGGACCGUUAGGGAAGCAGGACCCAGACGGAGGGCAGAGCGGGCAGGCACAGGGGCUGUGCUAGGACCAGAAGUAGCCAGGCGUGGGGGAGCACUUCUGACAUCCCAGCACUCAGGAGGCUGCGGCAGGAAGAUCGCUUUCAGGCCAGUCUGGGCUAUAUAGAGUACAAGACUAGCCUCAGCUACAUAACGAGAUCCUGUCUCAAAAAAUAAAAAGUAGGGCCGGGGAUUUAGCUCAGUGGUUUUACCUCUGCCUGCCUUCCAAGUGCAAGGUCCCAAGUUGGAUCCCCAGUACCAAAACAUAAUAAAUAAAAUGAAAACAGCAAGGUGACCUAAAGUGACUAUCAGGCAGGGUUAUAGUCGUCUUUACACCAUCUUGGUUAUAAAAUAGAAUUUUCAUCAUUCUCUGCCUAUAUAGAUAACAUAUGAAGGGGCCCACAAAGCCGGAAGAGCCCAGGACCCAGAAAAGUCCCAAAGUAGCCCUGACUUUGGUACUGUGCCACUGAAGACCCGAGUCCCACUUAUCCUCCAGCUCAGGUCGGACAGCUGGAGUUCUCGCGCUGCAGGGAAGAGACCCACAGCCCUGUGCUGUGGUCCCCUCUGGCGACAUCAUGUGACCUGGCCCAGGCACUUCACAGCAGGGUCUACGUCCAGAUGUCCCCUGCUCCGAAUCCCUGCACAUCUGGCUCCUUUGCUGUUGUCCCAGAAGACAGCUGUUCCUGAGCCUGUCCUCCGAUGUUCACACUCCCCAGGGACCCUGAGCAGCUCUGUGACUUUCCUUGCAGUGCGUGUUUUUCCACCAAACCAUGAACUUCUAACUACAGUGCAAAAAUGUCCCUAGAUCAUCUCUGCUUUUACUUUUUAAGCACUGGCUUUGGGCAGCACUGUUUGGCCCCAGAGGUCCUUGAUGUCACCUUCCUUCGAGGACAGUCUGUCUAGUGCAGAGUGACCCUUUAUUGCUUCAGCUGGGUUCUGGAAGGUUCCGCAAAUGAUCAGCACAGGAAGGUGAGCGAGCCCGGGAAACCCAAGAAGCAAACAAGCAUCCACCGAAGGAAUGGGACCCCCCCGCCAAGAUAAUUCGGUGGCAGUCUACAGCCACUCUCAGACAGCCAGUCUGUGGGAGCUACAUUUGGAGAGAGGCUAAGCAACAUCACCAGUGAUAUGGGGGGAGCCAGCUAGAGAUAGGGUCAGAGCAAGUACAAGACAGACACAGGUAUAUUCUGGGUGACUGCUGAUCACAACCCCAAGGCUGCCAUUCUGACCUCAAGCAGGCAUGAGAACUUCCACUGUAGAUCCCUGUUAUGGUGGGCAUCUGGGAAAGAGGUGUAUCACCUGCUUCUAAAAGCAAGACAAAACCAGGCAUGGCGGUAUGCACCUAUAAUCCCAGGACUUGGGAGGCUGAGGCAGGAGGGUCGCUGCCGAUUCGAGGCCAACUUCAGCUAUAUAGUGAGUUCAAGGUCAGCCUGGACUGCACAGCAAGACCCAGUCUCAAAUAAAAAAAAUAAAUAAAUAAAACAAGCACA